rnacentral:rRNA from 1 species
AGUGAACGCUGGCGGUAGGCCUAACACAUGCAAGUCGAACGGCAGCACAGUAAGAGCUUGCUCUUACGGGUGGCGAGUGGCGGACGGGUGAGGAAUACAUCGGAAUCUACUUUUUCGUGGGGGAUAACGUAGGGAAACUUACGCUAAUACCGCAUACGACCUACGGGUGAAAGCAGGGGAUCUUCGGACCUUGCGCGAUUGAAUGAGCCGAUGUCGGAUUAGCUAGUUGGCGGGGUAAAGGCCCACCAAGGCGACGAUCCGUAGCUGGUCUGAGAGGAUGAUCAGCCACACUGGAACUGAGACACGGUCCAGACUCCUACGGGAGGCAGCAGUGGGGAAUAUUGGACAAUGGGCGUAAGCCUGAUCCAGCCAUACCGCGUGGGUGAAGAAGGCCUUCGGGUUGUAAAGCCCUUUUGUUGGGAAAGAAAAGCAGCAGGUUAAUACCCCGCUGUUUUGACGGUACCCAAAGAAUAAGCACCGGCUAACUUCGUG